CAAGGAGCUUGCUCCUUUGACGUUAGCGGCGGACGGGUGAGUAACACGUGGGUAACCUACCUAUAAGACUGGGAUAACUUCGGGAAACCGGAGCUAAUACCGGAUGAAUAUUUCGAACCGCAUGGUUCGAUAGUGAAAGAUGGUUUUGCUAUCACUGUAUAGAUGGACCCGCGCCGUAUUAGCUAGUUGGUAAGGUAACGGCUUACCAAGGCGACGAUACGUAGCCGACCUGAGAGGGUGAUCGGCCACACGUGGAACUGAGACACGGUCCAGACUCCUACGGGAGGCAGCAGUAGGGAAUCUUCCGCAAUGGGCGAAAGCCUGACGGAGCAACGCCGCGUGAGUGAUGAAGGUCUUCGGAUCGUAAAACUCUGUUAUUAGGGAAGAACAUACGUGUAAGUAACUAUGCACGUCUUGACGGUACCUAAUCAGAAAGCCACGGCUAACUACGUGCCAGCAGCCGCGGUAAUACGUAGGUGGCAAGCGUUAUCCGGAAUUAUUGGGCGUAAAGCGCGCGUAGGCGGUUUUUUAAGUCUGAUGUGAAAGCCCACGGCUCAACCGUGGAGGGUCAUUGGAAACUGUAAAACUUGAGUGCAGAAGAGGAAAGUGGAAUUCCAUGUGUAGCGGUGAAAUGCGCAGAGAUAUGGAGGAACACCAGUGGCGAAGGCGACUUUCUGGUCUGUAACUGACGCUGAUGUGCGAAAGCGUGGGGAUCAAACAGGAUUAGAUACCCUGGUAGUCCAC
rnacentral:rRNA from 1 species